UGUGGGGCAGGACCCAUAAGUGAGGGGCAGGACCCACAAGUGUGGGGCAGGACCCACAAGUGUGGGGCAGGACCCAUAAGUGUGGGUCUGGACCCAUAAGUGUGGGGCAGCACCCAUAAUGUGGGGCAGGACCCAUAAGUGUGGGGCUGGACCCACAAUGUGGGGCAGGACCCAUAAGUGUGGGGCAGGACCCAUAAGUGAGGGUCUGGACCCACAAGUGUGGGGCAGGACCCAUAAUGUGGGGCAGGACCCAUAAGUGUGGGGCAGGACCCACAAGUGUGGGGCAGGACCCAUA